rnacentral:tRNA from 1 species
GCGCCUGUAGCUCAAUGGUAGAGCGCUACUCUUAUAAAGUAGACGUCCUUGGUUCGAAUCCAAGCAGGCGCACCC